rnacentral:rRNA from 1 species
GCAUAUCAAUAAGCGGAGGAAAAGAAACCAACAGGGAUUGCCUUAGUAGCGGCGAGUGAAGCGGCAAUAGCUCAAAUUUGAAAUCUGGCACUUUCAGUGUCCGAGUUGUAAUUUGAAGAAGGUAUCUUUGGGUCUAGCUCUUGUCUAUGUUUCUUGGAACAGAACGUCACAGAGGGUGAGAAUCCCGUGCGAUGAGAUGUCUAGAUCUAUGUAAAGUUCCUUCGAAGAGUCGAGUUGUUUGGGAAUGCAGCUCUAAGUGGGUGGUAAAUUCCAUCUAAAGCUAAAUAUUGGCGAGAGACCGAUAGCGAACAAGUACAGUGAUGGAAAGAUGAAAAGAACUUUGAAAAGAGAGUGAAAAAGUACGUGAAAUUGUUGAAAGGGAAGGGCUUGAGAUCAGACUUGGUAUUUUGUAUGUUACUCUCUCGGGGGUGGCCUCUACAGUUUACCGGGCCAGCAUCAGUUUGAGCGGUAGGAGAAUUGCGUAGGAAUGUGGCUCGGCCUCGGUCGAGUGUUAUAGCCUUCGUCGAUACUGCCAGCUUAGACUGAGGACUGCGGCUUCGGCCUAGGAUGUUGGCAUAAUGAUCUUAAGUCGCCCGUCUUGAAACACGGGACC